rnacentral:rRNA from 1 species
GAUGAACGCUGGCGGCGUGGAUAAGGCAUGCAAGUCGAGAGGGUUUAGACCCUCGGCAAACGGGGUAGUAACAGGUAGGAACGUACCCAAGAGUCGGGCAUAAUCUGGGGAAACCCAGGAUAAUUCCCGAUAUCCCUUACGGGGAAAGAUUUAUCGCUCUUGGAUCGGCCUGCUUCGCAUCAGCUUGUUGGUAGGGUAACUGCCUACCAAGGCUAUGACGCGUAGGGGAGGUGAGAGCCUGACCCCCACCACUGGGACUGAGACACUGCCCAGACUCCUACGGGAGGCUGCAGUCGAGAAUCUUGCACAAUGGGCGAAAGCCUGAUGCAGCGACGCCGCGUGACUGAUGAAGCUCUUAGGAGUGUAAAAGUCUUUUAUGAGGGAGGAAGUUUAUUGACGUUACCUCAUGAAUAAGGGGUUCCUAAUCACG